CGCGCAUUUUGUUAUGCGCUUCCAAACGUUGCUUUGUAACACGUAUCGAGCAUCAAAAUGCAAGAACGAUUCUUAGUGCGUUAUAUUAAAAUCGAUAACUGUUUCGCCUAUGUCUCGGAUGUCUGGCUACGUAAGCAAGGAACGAAGAAUAACGUAAUUGCGCUGUUACACAAAGAUGCGACUUAUUUUUUAUCAUGUAGUCCGAAACAAAUUACCGACGGAACAUUAUGCCUUGCUAGGCCUUUUGCGAAAACUUUGAACAUAGAGGACGGUGAUGAGGUAUUUGUACGUUUCGUUAAAGAUGCGCCAUCUUUAACAAGUAUAACGGUCAUUCCGGAAACAAAUGAAGAUCGGGAGAUAUUGGAACUUCAAGUCGAUAGAAUUCAAUCGACUUUGUUAAAUAAAAUUCAAAUAGUAGCAAAAGAUCAGCCUAUAGUAAUUUGGGUUUCGAAAUUUUCAACUAUAGUUCUAAUUACAGAAAUGCUCGAACCAAAUUUUCCUUGUGGAAAAUUGGAACAAUUUACGGAACUUCACGUGACCAAUACGAUUCAGAAUACUGUAAAAGAACAAAUAGAAUCUAAUGAAUUCACUAAUGUCGGUGGAUUCAAUUUUCGUGAUACGUUAAAAAAAAUUAUACCUACUUUUUCGAAAAGUUGCAAUAAUAAUGGAGUUGACAAAAAUUAUGCAUUGCUGCAAAAUUAUCGAAAACGACGAAAUCAAUCUGUCGUCUAUCGAGUUCACUUCCUUCCAGAAAUUAGCUCGUUUGAUGGGUCUAAUCCUUUUGAUAUUAUUUUAAAAUCUCCUUAUCACAUUUUUGUACCGCGUCGUCACGUACCAAAAGACGUGCAAUAUACGAAUGGUGGUAUAAUUUGUAAAAUGAAAAAAGUAUCGGAAGAACAAGUAAACGUCAACACACAAAGUACAAAUUUUUUGAAAAAUAUAGAAUCGCCAAUUCCGAGUUUAUCUUUCGAAUUAACUGUGAAACUUUUCGUAUUGGAGGACAUAUUGGAUCGAUGUUCAGAUAGUAUAGAUAAAAUUCAUUUCAAGCUCGAUUUUGUUCACAGUAAUAUUUAUAUUUCUGAGAGCGUAAAAAUUGGAUUGCGUUUAAGAAUGGGUGGAAAAGUCGUGUUAACAGCGAUCGACGUUGAGAAAAAUUUGAUUCCUUUGACAAUAGAAAUUUUUCCUACGAUUCAAACGACCUCCUUGCAAAGUAUCAAAGAUUUUCUUGCGAGCUAUUCUAUUCACGAGAAAAUCUUAUUAAAUUCAUGUGCUCCUAUUAUGCUCGAUAACGGUAAUCGAUGUAUCGUUAAAUUCUUACCAGAGAAAUGUACUUAUUCUUUUCUCGACGAAACAUUAUUAAAAACUAUUACGAUUCAUCUUAAAUCGAAAUUAGAUGUAGAUGAUUUAUUAACGUUGGAACAUGAUAUAGAGGAUGCCUUUUACAAGAAAAUUUCUACGAGAUAUUUAGAAAAUAUUCUUUCGGAGUGCCAAAUUACCCUUGAUCUCAGUUUACGAUUAAAUGCACCAACGAAUCUCGAGUAUGAUAGAGAAAAUAUUUUAAUAUGCGGUGAGAUCGGUUCAGGAAAGUCAACGUUAUGUAAAAUAUUGAUAAAAAGAUUGCAAAAAUCGCCAUAUUUUGUAUAUACUCAUGUGAUCGAUUGCAUAUCGUUGAAGGGAAAAAAAGUAGAAAUGUUACAAAAGAUAGUAUGUGCCGCGAUGUCUCAAUGUAUUUAUCAUCAGCCAUCUAUAUUAUUUUUGGAAGAUAUCGAUAGUAUUACUAUGGUAUCAUCAAAUAACGAAGAAAAUACUCCUGACUCGGUUAACGCAGCUAGAAUUACUGAUAUGAUCAUCAACACCGUAACGCAAUGUCAAGAAUCACAUUACGUGUCGAUCGUAGCAACAUGCGUUGGCAUAAAUAAAAUUGGUAAAAAAAUGAGACCAUCCAGAGGAUUAAAUUUUUUCAGAACGGUUCUAUCAAUACCGAACCUCGAAAAGGCGGAUAGAAUCGAUAUUUUGCAAUUAAUGCUCGAGGACAAGUUGUACGUGCCUGGCAACGUGAAUUGGGAUUACUAUGGUAACAAGACGGAGGGAUGGAUGGUACAAGAUCUCGUUGAUGUGGCGGAUAAGGCGACGUUUGCCGCUUGGAAACGUUGUGCAAAAGAAGAUAUCAAACCACCGAUCGUUAUCACAGAGGACGAUAUUUCUACCGUGAUGAAUAAUUAUAAACCAUUGUCUCUGCAAGGUGUCCAAUUAUAUAAAGGAUCUGAUCAGACAUGGUCAGAUAUCGGAGGAUUAGUUAAAGUAAAAAAAUCCUUGACAGAAAUUUUGCAUUGGCCAUUAAAGUAUCCUGAAAUAUUUAAAAAUGCUCCGAUCAAGCUUCAAAGUGGAGUUUUGUUGUAUGGUAUGCCAGGUACAGGGAAGACUCUGUUAGGUAAAGCGAUAGCUAGUGAAUGUGGUGUGAAUUUAAUUAGUGUGAAGGGUCCUGAAUUAUUAUCCAAGUACAUUGGUGUGAGUGAAGAAUCAGUAAGAAACAUUUUUGAAAGGGCUCAUCGCGCAAAACCAUGUGUUCUUUUCUUCGACGAAUUCGACAGUCUUGCUCCAAGACGUGGACAUGAUAGUACAGGUGUAACGGAUAGAGUGGUGAACCAAUUAUUGACCCAGCUUGAUGGUAUAGAAGAUAGAGAAGGCGUUGCUGUAGUGGCUGCAACGUCUAGACCAGAUUUAUUAGAUCCAGCUCUUUUAAGACCCGGUCGUUUAGAUAAAUCUUUAUAUUGUCCAUUACCAAAUGAGUUGGAGAGAGAAGAGAUAUUGCAUGUUCUGUGUAAAUCCCAGAAGAUAAACGUAAUGGAAUUAGAUUUGAGAGAAAUCGCAUGCGCUUCUCUCGGAUUAACCGGUGCAGAUUUGAAUGCGAUAAUUACCCAAGCUAAAUUAGCUGCCUUUGAAGAUGCUGUGGAAAUCAUACCGGAAGAGAAUCUUCGACCUACGGAUAUCAAAGUAACUCAAAAACAUUUAGUCGAGUCUGUAAAAUCAAUUCAACCGUCUCUGUCUUCCACGGAAAUGGAGAAAUAUACAAGAAUUUAUACGAGGUUCUCGAAGGGCGACACUUUCGUCGAGGAUAUGUUGAAGAAUCAAAAGGCAACGUUAGCGUGAUACGAGCUAGCUCAUUUAUAUUUUAUAAUCAUGAAGAACAUGUAUAAAGAAAGAGAAAAAAAGGAGUCUCCGUGGAGUUCUUCGACUCCUUCGCAGGAGGAGUUCGGUUACGAUAGUAAGGAAGCGUAAAAGAAGUUUGGUUGGUUCCUUAGCUUCGUCGGAAGUCGUAGUUCGGCUUUUCGUGUCGAAUGUUCUUCUAGACGUUUGGAAAGGUGGGGACAGCCGUGUCAUCCUUGGGCCAUUGUCCAAGGCGAUUUCCUUUGGCACGUAGGAUGCUUGGGAGACGAUCGUAAAAGGUUCUCUGCUGGAUAGUAAAAGACGGCCACCAGUUGGAACACCAGGUUCAAACUAUCCACUGAUCGCGCCCCCUACGUUCUUUCUCUCUUUUCUUUCUUUUACUUUUUCUUCUUUCUUUUUUUUUCUUUUCUUUUUUUUUCUUUUUUCCUUCGUUUUCUAUUCGACAGGAAACACCAGCAGGAAACACAGAAGAAAGAAGAAUAGCAAAGGAAGGAGAAAAGCCAUCCAUCCCUUUUUUCGAUUCUCUGUUUGGUCAAGAGGAAACGAAAGAGACCCCUUAUUAUACCUGAUAAUUCGAAACCUAAGUCUUUUAUUCUUCGUAUUCUUUUCCCUUUUUCCAUUCCUUUUUCUUCUCACUAUGAAGCCGAUCUUGAAUGAUCGUCUAAGCCGACUUGUCGCACGCUGAUUGUCUUCCACUUUGAAGAUGAGCAGGUGCCCUGAAAGGCACGACGAUGAUCAACAAUGAACGGCCACCGGUAAGAUUUACUUUACGAGAAGAUCCAUACCAAAUUGUUGUUAUAUCGCACAGCUGGUGCCUAUAUGUUUAGCUCAAGAUACAUGCUUCUUUUCUUCUUUUAUUUUCUAUUUGUCAAAUGAGAUUAAUAUAUCAUCGGGACGAAUAGAAUUUUACCUAUACCUGAAUAUACCUCGGUAAAUAGAAAUUAUUCCGGAAUACAGCGAACGAUAAUUUUUUCGACUCGAAUUAAAUUAAAAUGGUAUCGUUGAUAAAAAUGAUAUUUUUAUUAAAUAUAUCGAUAGAUAUUCUAUAGUUAAGUAGUUACUUAUAGCAAGACAAUUUUUUUUUAGGGUUGUAUAGUUUUUUAAAUCCAUGCACGACGUUCACAUUGACAUUUCUAAUAUACAGAUGUUCAAACUCCCGAUAACUCUUCUUAACGACUAAUACUCGUUUCAAUGCCGUAGCUGCAAAUAAUUAAUAACAGUUCAACGACGAAUUCGAAAAGCAAGAAGCUGCGUGAGUAGUUGGAUAGAAUAGGACAAAAAGAGGAGAAGGGAAACGGGAGAAUGAGAGAAAGGGAUGGAGAGGAUUGAGAGAGAGAGAGAGAAAGAGAGAGAGAGAGAAAGAGAUAAAUAGAGGGCUCACCAGGGAUAGAACUAAUACCCAGCUAAUACUAACCAGUAAGCCCUUUAAAAGCAUCCGACGGAAACUCGAGGGUUUGAGCUUGGAUAUCAUACCUCCUGCGCAUCUACUUACAUGCGAAUUUGCACCUACAAUAGGGACUUGAUUCAAUCCUGACCACUACUGUCCAUUGGAGUCUGUGCUCGUUCUAACAGAUACUCAGAUACUUAGGUACGUGGGAUUGAUGGAUGAAAAUACGACGACGCGAAUCCAGAAUACAGCAGUAUCACCAUCGACUGCUAUUCCCAGUGAGGAAUACAGAACGGAAUACGGGAUACAUAGAGGAGGAAUACAAGACGAAUAGAAGACGGGCUCUCAAGCUUUUAGCCCAGGCAAAUAAAUCGUGGUUUGCGAAGGAGCCAACAUUCGCGAAUAAAUCCACCCUCUCUCUCUCUCUCCCUCUCUAUCUUUUUCUUGUAUACAUCUCCUACACGCGUACCUACCUCUAUUCCCCUCUUCUACUUUUCGCUUCUCUACAUAUAUCUCGUACGACACCUCACGGAUCUGACGUAUGCCAUCUGUGUCCACGUUAGAAAAAGACAGACAGACCGAAAGAAUUUUUCACUAUUACUUUCUUCCUUUCUUCUUUUCUUAUACAAAAUUUUUUCGUUACAACAACAACAACAAAGAUAAAUAAAUAAACAAGAAAGAAAAAACAGAGAAAAAA